UUUGCGCAUCAAUAAAAUGGUUUAUCUGAAAAGAUAAUGAAAAGGGAAUGGAGUGAAAAUCUCCAACAGGCCCGCUGCUGUAAGCUCAAUGGUUUAACAAGCUUGGUUGUCCACUGUUGUAAAAUGGGAAGGACCUUGUUAAGAGUAAGUCAGAAUACCUGCCAUUUUAGGUUUUGUUUA
rnacentral:ncRNA from 2 species